AUGCGAUUUGGUUUCCUUCUGCAGCCUGGGUUUUAACUUUUCAACAGUUCCAAGAUCCAAAUUUUUUGUUUUCAAUCUUUCAUCUUUGUUAUGAUUUAGUAAAUUGUCAUUCUUUUCCAUUACUAAAAGAUUUUCUUCUGCUGAUAAGUGAUAAGAUUGUGAGUUUGUGAUGAUGUGAGAGGUUUAUUACCAACUGAUGUAUGAAUAUGGCCGAAGAACAUAUUAGAUUAGUACUUAUUUAUCCAUUGUUUUCUUCUGCAGCAUUGAUUGUAAUUAGUAAUUAUUAUAUUAUCUAAAGAAAUUAAUUCAUAUGGUGGUUUCAAAUAUAAAAUGCAAGAAGUUGUUCUCACUUGGUUUCCAUAAUGAGAAGUUGUGCUUCAGUGUUGUUGUCUUAUUUAUGUUUUAUGAUUUCUUGAUAUCUAAGCUACAAAGUUAUUAAAACCAAAGUUCACAAAUCAAUAGAGAUGGGUCCUGUUAUACUUCUUUAUGUAUGUAGAAUGCAGCUUCCUUCUGAAGCUUAAAUUGUUUUUCUGAUAUUUCCAUUUGCUUUAUUGUGCAGACCACAAUAAAGUUCCUUGGUUUGCUGAGUUCUCCUUUGGUUUGAUCAAAGGCUGUGGUUUUGGUGGAUUUCGACAGAGUGAGGAUUGCAGGCUUUGUUUGUGCUACAGUUUCAACUCUGGGCAAUUGAUUGCAAUACCUUCAAGGUUAGAGCUGCUGAGCUUCGGCAAAUACUAGUAGAACUUGGACCGGCGUAUAUCAAAAUCGCUCAGGCUAUUUCGUCUCGACCUAAAGAAAAUUUCAGUCGAUCCUCGCCG